rnacentral:rRNA from 1 species
CCUACGGGAGGCAGCAGUGGGGAAUAUUGCACAAUGGGGGAAACCCUGAUGCAGCGACGCCGCGUGAGUGAAGAAGGAUUUCGGUAUGGAAAGCUCUAGCAGCAGGGAAGAAAAUGACGGUACCUGACUAAGAAGCCCCGGCUAACGACGUGCCAGCAGCCGCGGUAAUACGAAGGGGGCAAGCGUUAUCCGGAUUUACUGGGUGUAAAGGGAGCGUAGACGGCCGAGCACGUCUGAAGUGAAAGCCCGCGGCCCCACUGCGGGACUGCUUGGGAAACUGCCCGGCUAGAGUGCUGGAGCGGUCUGCGCCAUUCCUCUUGUCGCUGUUAACUGCUUAGAUAUUAGGAG